AUUGAACGCUGGCGGCAGGCCUAACACAUGCAAGUCGGACGGUAGCACAGAGGAGCUUGCUCCUCGGGUGACGAGUGGCGGACGGGUGAGUAAUGUCUGGGGAUCUGCCCGAUAGAGGGGGAGAACCACUGGAAACGGUGGCUAAUACCGCAUAACGUCGCAAGACCAAAGAGGGGGCACUUCGGGCCUCUCACUAUCUGAUGAACCCAGAUGGGAUUAGCUAGUAGGCGGGGUAAUGGCCCACCUAGGCGACGAUACCUAGCUGGUCUGAGAGGAUGACCAGCCACACUGGAACUGAGACACGGUCCAGACUCCUACGGGAGGCAGCAGUGGGGAAUAUUGCACAAUGGGCGCAAGCCUGAUGCAGCCAUGCCGCGUGUAUGAAGAAGGCCUUCGGGUUGUAAAGUACUUUCAGCGGGGAGGAAGGCGAUAAGGUUAAUAACCUUGUCGAUUGACGUUACCCGCAGAAGAAGCACUGGCUAACUCCGUGCCAGCCGCCGCCGUAA
rnacentral:rRNA from 1 species